GAAGGAUGUGUGCUGUAGGCUCCUGCAAAGGAACCUUUGACUCUCUAGGCCACUGGGACUGGGCACCUGGACUAUGCUGGGGAUGACCAGCCGACCAUGGAGACUGCCAGCUGAGGAGAUGCCCCAAAUGGACCUUAUGUCCUUAUGUGACGUCCUCUGUAUUUAUUAUUUCCGCAACAUUGGUGCCAUCUCCUAAUAUGAACACAGCUAAGUUGACACAAAACGAAUGCAUCCAGCAAAUAAAGACAUGAAGUAGCUGUGCAGGGUGAAGAGUGAUGCUAUUGGGGGUGGGAACUGUUUGUUUUGUUUUUAAUUUGUCAAAGAAUUCUCUGAAAAUCCUGAGAGGCCUGGACAUGGCUACAGCGUGCAAGAAGUAGCUCUGCUUGAAGACAGACAGACGUGUCACCCUGGUAACAGAAGCAGCUCCAUGGAAGUGUUCUGUGCAUCACACCAACCAUCCACAGACAGUAUUUCAAAAACCACUGAGCUUCCUGAAACGCAACAGAGAGGGGAUGGAAACAGUCAAUAGGUGUAAGUUUAUAGGUGACUCUAGAGAAAAAUCUGAAGGGUAUUGAAGGAAGCAAUGUCCAGGUGAUCUUCUCAGAGAUGCUUCCUGUGCCAUGAGUGAAGGAAGACAGAAGGCAGAACAUUCUCAAGGUGAAGUGUUGGCUGGAGGUUAAAGUUUAGCCGCUCUUCAUGUUCUGGAAAGGUUUAAUCCAUCCCUCGGAGCAGGAAAUUUGAGCCAAGCAGCGUUGUCUUGCCAGCCUACUUCUCUGACAGGUGAACCAUACUGCUAGGAACAAAAAUGCCAAGGCUUUUGUACUCCUGUGCGUAUAACAAUACAACUAACAACAAAUGUGGCAACUCUAAAGGCUACAGAAAACAAAGGGGACUUAUAAUUUGUCUCUUAAAUUGUUAAGUGUGAAAGUUCCCAUGCAAACCACUUCAAGUCUAGAAAACAAGAAUACAACAAAGUCCAAAGCACAUCAUGUCCUUCAUUGCCUAAGGUUAGACAACAUACAGCUAAUAGUGGCCCGAUGGAUGUGACAGAAGCAAUAAAUCAUUCUCUUUCUCUCUGCCCUGGUCUCCCAUGUCAUGCUUACUGCACAGCUGCCACACUGAGAUUGAUGGUGUUUGCCUUCAACGUAAGAAUAACUUCUCACCCACUUCUCUCUCAUUCUGUUAACAAAAGGACACCAAAAAACCACCUUGUUUACAAAUAACUACAUUAGGCAUUUAGAAGAUGACCACCA